UGGGGAAUAUUGGACAAUGGGCGCAAGCCUGAUCCAGCAACGCCGCGUGGAGGACGAAGGUCUUCGGAUCGUAAACUCCUGUCAGACGGGACGAAGGUGCCUGGGUGAACAAUCCAGGUACUUGACGGUACUGUCAGAGGAAGCCCCGGCUAACUCCGUGCCAGCAGCCGCGGUAAUACGGAGGGGGCGAGCGUUAUUCGGAAUUAUUGGGCGUAAAGGGCGCGUAGGCGGCUUGGCAAGUCAAAGGUGAAAUCCCUCGGCUCAACUGAGGAACUGCCUUUGAAACUGCCUGGCUUGAGGCCGGGAGGGGGUAGCGGAAUUCCCAGUGUAGCGGUGAAAUGCGUAGAUAUUGGGAGGAACACCAGUGGCGAAGGCGGCUACCUGGACCGGUUCUGACGCUGAUGCGCGAAAGCGUGGGUAGCGAAACAGGAUUAGAUACCCUGGUAGUCCACGCUGUAACGAUGGGUGCUCGGUGUCGCGGGUAUCGA
rnacentral:rRNA from 1 species